GACGAACGCUGGCGGCGUGCCUAAUACAUGCAAGUCGAGCGGAGCGGCGGACGGGGGAGUAAUGCCUAGGAAUCUGCCUGGUAGUGGGGGAUAACGUCCGGCAACGGGCGCUAAUACCGCAUACUAUCAGAUGAGCCUAGGUCGGAUUAGCUAGUUGGUGGGGGAAAGGCCUACCAAGGCGACGAUCCGUAACUGGUCUGAGAGGAUGAUCAGUAACACUGGAACUUAGACACGGUCCAGACUCCUACGGGAGGCAGCAGUGGGGAAUAUUGGACAAUGGGCGAAAGCCUGAUCCAGCCAUGCCGCGUGUAUGAAGAAGGUCUUCGGAUUGUAAAGCACUUUAAGUUGGGAGGCGUUACCAACAGAAUAAGCACCGGCUAACUACGUGCCAGCAGCCGCGGUAAUAC
rnacentral:rRNA from 1 species